rnacentral:ncRNA from 2 species
UGGCUGUACUAGGGGUGCCAUGUGCUGAGAGACGGCGGACCGCCGUUAACCCUUAUCACCCGAUCUAGAUCAUACUAGCGUGGGGAAGUGUAGCAUUUAUGUU